rnacentral:lncRNA from 1 species
CAAAAAUUUAAUUCUAGAGAAAGGGCUUCAACUGAACAAAGAGAAAAGCUUAAAGCGUGAAUAAUGAAUUCGACCUGUAACUUGUCAUGAUAAAUCAAUAAACCAAAUAUCAAAUCAAAAUCUACAAGCACAAAAAGUCUUGAUUUGCCGAAAUGACAGAUAGACAGACUGACAGACAGACAAACGCAGUGCAAACCUAAGUCCACUUAGACGUUAGCCGUUAGGGGACUUAAAAAUCAAAAUCUCAAAGUAUCAACAAACAGGAAAGAGAUGUUCUUUGGAGAGGGAACAUUCAAGAUAAUUUUGGAAAAGCUUUCGAUUUUUGAAGAAGUAGGGUCACCUCAAA